rnacentral:rRNA from 1 species
CCCUUAGAUGUUCUGGGCUGCACGCGUGUUACAAUCGGGAGUACAACAAGAUUGCAAAUCCUAGUGGAUGAGUGGUUCUUCGAAAUUUUCUGAAGACUGGGAUAGUUGAUUGAAAUUAUUCAACUCGAACGAGGAAUUCCUUGUAAUUGUAAUUCAUUAUAUUGUAAUGAAUACGUCCCUGCCCUUUGUACACACCGCCCGUCGCUCCUACCGAUUGAACGAUCCGGUGAAUUAUUUGGAGUAGCUCUGGAAGUUGCAGAACUUCCCAUGUCACGAAAUUUUGUAAACCUUAUCGUUUAGAGGAAGGAAAAGUCGUAACA